UGAUCCCUACGGGGGGCAGCAGUGGGGAAUAUUGCACAAUGGGGGAAACCCUGAUGCAGCGACGCCGCGUGAAGGAAGAAGUAUUUCGGUAUGUAAACUUCUAUCAGCAGGGAAGAAAAUGACGGUACCUGACUAAGAAGCCCCGGCUAACUACGUGCCAGCAGCCGCGGUAAUACGUAGGGGGCAAGCGUUAUCCGGAUUUACUGGGUGUAAAGGGAGCGUAGGCGGGUUAGCAAGUCAGAAGUGAAAGCACGGGGCUCAACUCAGGGAAUGCUUUUGAAACUGUUGAACUAGAUUGCAGGAGG
rnacentral:rRNA from 1 species